rnacentral:rRNA from 2 species
AGACCCGAAACCCGGUGAUCUAGCCAUGGGCAGGUUGAAGGUUGGGUAACACUAACUGGAGGACCGAACCGACUAAUGUUGAAAAAUUAGCGGAUGACCUGUGGCUGGGGGUGAAAGGCCAAUCAAACCGGGAGAUAGCUGGUUCUCCCCGAAAGCUAUUUAGGUAGCGCCUCGUGAAUUCAUCUCCGGGGGUAGAGCACUGUUUCGGCUAGGGGGCCAUCCCGGCUUACCAACCCGAUGCAAACUGCGAAUACCGGAGAAUGUUAUCACGGGAGACACACGGCGGGUGCUAACGUCCGUCGUGAAGAGGGAAACAACCCAGACCGCCAGCUAAGGUCCCAAAGUCAUGGUUAAGUGGGAAACGAUGUGGGAAGGCCCAGACAGCCAGGAUGUUGGCUUAGAAGCAGCCAUCAUUUAAAGAAAGCGUAAUAGCUCACUGGUCGAGUCGGCCUGCGCGGAAGAUGUAACGGGGCUAAACCAUGCACCGAAGCUGCGGCAGCGAACGUAUCACCCAAGACAACUUUACGGAGUUGACGAUUGACGGAGCGAAGCGACGUCAAAGCGUUCAUUAAAGUCGAGUUGGCUUAGGGAUACGUUCGUUGGGUAGGGGAGCGUUCUGUAAGCCUGUGAAGGUGUGUCGUGAGGCAUGCUGGAGGUAUCAGAAGUGCGAAUGCUGACAUAAGUAACGAUAAAGCGGGUGAAAAGCCCGCUCGCCGGAAGACCAAGGGUUCCUGUCCAACGUUAAUCGGGGCAGGGUGAGUCGACCCCUAAGGCGAGGCCGAAAGGCGUAGUCGAUGGGAAACGGGUUAAUAUUCCCGUACUUGGUGUUACUGCGAAGGGGGGACGGAGAAGGCUAUGUUGGCCGGGCGACGGUUGUCCCGGUUUAAGCGUGUAGGUGUGUGUUCCAGGUAAAUCCGGUUCACUUUAACACUGAGGCGUGAUGACGAGGCACUACGGUGCUGAAG